AUGUGUGGCAUCACCGAGAGACAGAAAGACAAAUGUGAUUGCCAUAACCUCUAUCACAACUGAGGACAAUAAAAAAUAUGUUGUCAGAAAAUGAAAAAUUUGCAAGUAACCACAGCGGACUAACAAAAACAGAAUGCUAUAAGAGAAUGAAAAAAAGCCUCAAUCAAAGAGGGCAAGAAAGAAGAAUAUGGAUUAAAUGCACACAGGAAAUGGAGAGGCAUGUUUAGACUGGCACUCAGCAACACUAACAGCAUUGACAAUGGAGGCUGGUUGGAACGAAUGGAAACAGAAAUUCUUGACAUCAUUUGCAGACAAGGGAUGAAGUAUAAGUAUAUACGCUAUAUCCUACAGAUAUAAAGAAGGUUCACUAAUGGAGUACGCUAUGAGGAAAGAAAAACUAUUACUGGAUAUGGACAAUAAUAUCAGUACAAAGACUCUGAUGAUGCUUAUAGCAGCAGGAUUACCAGAAUUCAUAAGAGAUAAAAUAGAGAAAAUUGUCAAAGCUCAACAGAAUUACUACAAGAAAUAAAAAAAUGUGAAAAUCUAGUAAGUAAGAACAGUUUUACAAAAAAGAAAGAGGAAAAACAAGAUAAUAAGAAGAAAUUUGAAGAAAAGAAACCAUGUAAGAAUUGUGAAAAACUAAACAAAGGUAUUAGAUAUCAUUCAGAGGACUCCUGUUGGUUCAAAAAGGAAAAUAGAAAGGAAACCAGAAUAAAUGGAAGCAAUUCGAUGAUAGAAAUGGACCUAUGCAAGGAACAAAAAAACGAAUAACCACACCAUUGAUCAAAGUAAGGAUAGUAUUAGAAAAGAAGUUAAAGGUAAACGGAACAUAUGACCUAGGUUCCCAGGUCUCUCUAAUAAAUUCGAGACUAGUCAAAAUAAAAAAAA